GGGCGGCGUGACCGCCCCGCCCCCCGGCGCCCGCCCCUCCUGCUGCUCAGCCAGGCUCCGCGAGCCGCAGGGCGGGGAAGCGGGACGUACCAAGCGGCAGGCGGCGGAGGGGUGCGGGCCGGAACUCCGCCCUUCGUGCUGGUCGGUCUCCACGCCCCACUCGGACUAGUGUCACCGCCUCCCCGCCGCAGACACUAUCCGACAAAGGAGGGGGAAUCAAAGGCUGGGCGAAGAGGCAGGGCAGGCGCCGGUGACGCUGCUGGGCAAGCGGGCUCUGCAGUAGCAUUUGUGGCGACCGUGGCAGUGGCUGUGACUGGAAGCUUCUGGAAAUGGCGGCGAUGAGGACCCCCACAUAGGGAUGGCCAUAGCAGCCACAAAAGGAAGCAAACAAGAACAAGUCCUGAUGGAGCAAUUUAUGAAGACAGGCAGCAUAGAGGGAGAAGAACCUGUCUGUCAACCCCACACACGCUUUCCCAGUUCUGAAUCAAGGACGUAUCCCUGAAUCUGGGGAGCUCUCUAUCAAAAUAUACAUGCUGGAACCCUACCAAAGGAAUAAUAAAUCUGGAAUGAGGCUCUGACUGUCUAAUUAGGAAAAGACUCCUUCCUGGAAUUCUGCACAUCUCCCUACACCUUAGUGACGGUUAAAUAAAUAAUUAUUAAGCUUCUGGA
rnacentral:lncRNA from 1 species